rnacentral:rRNA from 1 species
UGCAAGUCGAGCGAUGAGAUCCCUUCGGGGAUGGAUUAGCGGCGAACGGGUGAGGAACACGUGAGGAAUCUACCUUCAACACUGGGAUAACUCCGGGAAACCGGGGCUAAUACCGGAUACGAGAUCGGCAGGCAUCUGCUGAUCUGGAAAGUUUUUCGGUUGAAGAUGACCUCGUGGCCUAUCAGCUUGUUGGUGAGGUAAUGGCUCACCAAGGCGACGACGGGUAGCCGGCCUGAGAGGGCGACCGGCCACACUGGGACUGAGACACGGCCCAGACUCCUACGGGAGGCAGCAGUGGGGAAUAUUGGGCAAUGGAGGGAACUCUGACCCAGCGACGCCGCGUGCGGGAUGAAGGCCUUCGGGUUGUAAACCGCUUUCAGCAGGGAAGAAGCGAAAGUGACGGUACCUGCAGAAGAAGCACCGGCUAACUAUGUGCCAGCAGCCGCGGUAAUACAUAGGGUGCAAGCGUUGUCCGGAAUUAUUGGGCGUAAAGAGCUCGUAGGUGGUUCGUCACGUCGGAUGUGAAAAUCUGGGGCUUAACCCCAGACCUGCAUUCGAUACGGGCGAGCUAGAGUGUGGUAGGGGAGACUGGAAUUCCUGGUGUGGCGGUGGAAUGCGCAGAUAUCAGGAGGAACACCAAUGGCGAAGGCAGGUCUCUGGGCCAUUACUGACACUGAGGAGCGAAAGCGUGGGGAGCGAACAGGAUUAGAUACCCUGGUAGUCCA